CGUGCACCAGUGGGGUCCCUUGGCCUGGCCUGCAGGAUUGGGCUGAAGCCAGCUCUCUGACAUCCCCCAAGGGGUCCGGGUUGCAAGAGGUUGCAGGCCAGGCCGAGGGACUCCACUGGUGCAUG
rnacentral:pre_miRNA from 1 species